rnacentral:rRNA from 1 species
AGUGAACGCUGGCGGUAGGCCUAACACAUGCAAGUCGAACGGCAGCACAGUAAGAGCUUGCUCUUACGGGUGGCGAGUGGCGGACGGGUGAGGAAUACAUCGGAAUCUACUUUUUCGUGGGGGAUAACGUAGGGAAACUUACGCUAAUACCGCAUACGACCUACGGGUGAAAGCAGGGGAUCUUCGGACUUUGCGCGAUUGAUUGAGCGGAGGUCGGAUUAGCUAGUUGGCGGGGUAAAGGCCCACCAAGGCGACGAUCCGUAGCUGGUCUGAGAGGAUGAUCAGCCACACUGGAACUGAGACACGGUCCAGACUCCUACGGGAGGCAGCAGUGGGGAAUAUUGGACAAUGGGCGCAAGCCUGAUCCAGCCAUACCGCGUGGGUGAAGAAGGCCUUCGGGUUGUAAAGCCCUUUUGUUGGGAAAGAAAGGCAGCAGGUUAAUACCCCGCUGUUCUGACGGUACCCAAAGAAUAAGCACCGGCUAACUUCGUG